rnacentral:rRNA from 1 species
AGAAGUUAGUGGCGGACGGGUGCGUAACGCGUGGGUAAUCUGCCUUUGUCAAAGGAAUAACUAUUCGAAAGAAUAGCUAAAACCGUAUAAAAUAUUAAUAGGGCAUCCUAAUAAUAUCAAAACGAUAGUGGACAAAGAUGAGCCCGCGUCUGAUUAGCUAGUUGGUGAGAUAAAAGCCCACCAAGGCAACGAUCAGUAGCCGACCUGAGAGGGUGAACGGCCACAUUGGAACUGAGACACGGUCCAA